GAUGAAGAACGCAGCGAAACGCGAUAUGUAAUGUGAAUUGCAGAAUUCAGUGAAUCAUCGAAUCUUUGAACGCACAUUGCGCCCGUCAGUAUUCUGACGGGCAUGCCUGUCCGAGCGUCAUUUCAACCCUCAAGCACUGCUUGGCGUUGGCGGAUUGCGUGCCCUCGCGGCGCUGCAACCGCCCAAAUACAGUGGCGGUCCCGCUGCGGCUCCCUUUGCGUAGUAACUCACCUCGCACUGGACCGGGCGGCGGCCUGCCGUAAAACCCCAACUCACGAAAUGUUGACCUCGGAUCAGGUAGGAAUACCCGCUGAACUUAAGCAUAUCAAUAAGCGGAGGA
rnacentral:misc_RNA from 1 species